rnacentral:rRNA from 2 species
UUAAGCGACUAAGCGUACACGGUGGAUGCCCUGGCAGUCAGAGGCGAUGAAGGACGUGCUAAUCUGCGAUAAGCGUCGGUAAGGUGAUAUGAACCGUUAUAACCGGCGAUUUCCGAAUGGGGAAACCCAGUGUGUUUCGACACACUAUCAUUAACUGAAUCCAUAGGUUAAUGAGGCGAACCGGGGGAACUGAAACAUCUAAGUACCCCGAGGAAAAGAAAUCAACCGAGAUUCCCCCAGUAGCGGCGAGCGAACGGGGAGGAGCCCAGAGCCUGAAUCAGUGUGUGUGUUAGUGGAAGCGUCUGGAAAGGCGCGCGAUACAGGGUGACAGCCCCGUACACAAAAAUGCACAUGCUGUGAGCUCGAUGAGUAGGGCGGGACACGUGGUAUCCUGUCUGAAUAUGGGGGGACCAUCCUCCAAGGCUAAAUACUCCUGACUGACCGAUAGUGAACCAGUACCGUGAGGGAAAGGCGAAAAGAACCCCGGCGAGGGGAGUGAAAAAGAACCUGAAACCGUGUACGUACAAGCAGUGGGAGCCUCUUAAUGGGGUGACUGCGUACCUUUUGUAUAAUGGGUCAGCGACUUAUAUUCUGUAGCAAGGUUAACCGAAUAGGGGAGCCGAAGGGAAACCGAGUCUUAACUGGGCGUUAAGUUGCAGGGUAUAGACCCGAAACCCGGUGAUCUAGCCAUGGGCAGGUUGAAGGUUGGGUAACACUAACUGGAGGACCGAACCGACUAAUGUUGAAAAAUUAGCGGAUGACUUGUGGCUGGGGGUGAAAGGCCAAUCAAACCGGGAGAUAGCUGGUUCUCCCCGAAAGCUAUUUAGGUAGCGCCUCGUGAAUUCAUCUCCGGGGGUAGAGCACUGUUUCGGCAAGGGGGUCAUCCCGACUUACCAACCCGAUGCAAACUGCGAAUACCGGAGAAUGUUAUCACGGGAGACACACGGCGGGUGCUAACGUCCGUCGUGAAGAGGGAAACAACCCAGACCGCCAGCUAAGGUCCCAAAGUCAUGGUUAAGUGGGAAACGAUGUGGGAAGGCCCAGACAGCCAGGAUGUUGGCUUAGAAGCAGCCAUCAUUUAAAGAAAGCGUAAUAGCUCACUGGUCGAGUCGGCCUGCGCGGAAGAUGUAACGGGGCUAAACCAUGCACCGAAGCUGCGGCAGCGACACUAUGUGUUGUUGGGUAGGGGAGCGUUCUGUAAGCCUGUGAAGGUGGCCUGUGAGGGUUGCUGGAGGUAUCAGAAGUGCGAAUGCUGACAUAAGUAACGAUAAAGCGGGUGAAAAGCCCGCUCGCCGGAAGACCAAGGGUUCCUGUCCAACGUUAAUCGGGGCAGGGUGAGUCGACCCCUAAGGCGAGGCCGAAAGGCGUAGUCGAUGGGAAACAGGUUAAUAUUCCUGUACUUGGUGUUACUGCGAAGGGGGGACGGAGAAGGCUAUGUUGGCCGGGCGACGGUUGUCCCGGUUUAAGCGUGUAGGCUGGUUUUCCAGGCAAAUCCGGAAAACCAAGGCUGAGGCGUGAUGACGAGGCACUACGGUGCUGAAGCGACAAAUGCCCUGCUUCCAGGAAAAGCCUCUAAGCAUCAGGUAACAUCAAAUCGUACCCCAAACCGACACAGGUGGUCAGGUAGAGAAUACCAAGGCGCUUGAGAGAACUCGGGUGAAGGAACUAGGCAAAAUGGUGCCGUAACUUCGGGAGAAGGCACGCUGAUAUGUAGGUGAAGCGACUUGCUCGUGGAGCUGAAAUCAGUCGAAGAUACCAGCUGGCUGCAACUGUUUAUUAAAAACACAGCACUGUGCAAACACGAAAGUGGACGUAUACGGUGUGACGCCUGCCCGGUGCCGGAAGGUUAAUUGAUGGGGUUAGCGGUAACGCGAAGCUCUUGAUCGAAGCCCCGGUAAACGGCGGCCGUAACUAUAACGGUCCUAAGGUAGCGAAAUUCCUUGUCGGGUAAGUUCCGACCUGCACGAAUGGCGUAAUGAUGGCCAGGCUGUCUCCACCCGAGACUCAGUGAAAUUGAACUCGCUGUGAAGAUGCAGUGUACCCGCGGCAAGACGGAAAGACCCCGUGAACCUUUACUAUAGCUUGACACUGAACAUUGAGCCUUGAUGUGUAGGAUAGGUGGGAGGCUUUGAAGUGUGGACGCCAGUCUGCAUGGAGCCGACCUUGAAAUACCACCCUUUAAUGUUUGAUGUUCUAACGUUGGCCCCUAAUCGGGGUUGCGGACAGUGUCUGGUGGGUAGUUUGACUGGGGCGGUCUCCUCCUAAAGAGUAACGGAGGAGCACGAAGGUUGGCUAAUCCUGGUCGGACAUCAGGAGGUUAGUGCAAUGGCAUAAGCCAGCUUGACUGCGAGCGUGACGGCGCGAGCAGGUGCGAAAGCAGGUCAUAGUGAUCCGGUGGUUCUGAAUGGAAGGGCCAUCGCUCAACGGAUAAAAGGUACUCCGGGGAUAACAGGCUGAUACCGCCCAAGAGUUCAUAUCGACGGCGGUGUUUGGCACCUCGAUGUCGGCUCAUCACAUCCUGGGGCUGAAGUAGGUCCCAAGGGUAUGGCUGUUCGCCAUUUAAAGUGGUACGCGAGCUGGGUUUAGAACGUCGUGAGACAGUUCGGUCCCUAUCUGCCGUGGGCGCUGGAGAACUGAGGGGGGCUGCUCCUAGUACGAGAGGACCGGAGUGGACGCAUCACUGGUGUUCGGGUUGUCAUGCCAAUGGCACUGCCCGGUAGCUAAAUGCGGAAGAGAUAAGUGCUGAAAGCAUCUAAGCACGAAACUUGCCCCGAGAUGAGUUCUCCCUGAGACUUAGAGUCUCCUGAAGGAACGUUGAAGACGACGACGUUGAUAGGCCGGGUGUGUAAGCGCAGCGAUGCGUUGAGCUAACCGGUACUAAUGAACCGUGAGGCUUAACCUU